UGGGGAAUCUUGCACAAUGGAGGAAACUCUGAUGCAGCGACGCCGCGUGAGCGAUGAAGCCCUUCGGGGUGUAAAGCUCUUUCGACAGGGACGAUAAUGACGGUACCUGGAGAAGCAGCUGCGGCUAACUACGUGCCAGCAGCCGCGGUAAUACGUAGGCAGCAAGCGUUGUUCGGAGUUACUGGGCGUAAAGGGUGUGUAGGCGGCCUUCUAAGUUCGGUGUGAAAUCUCCCGGCUUAACCGGGAGGGUGCGCCGGAAACUGGCAGGCUAGAGUGUGGGAGGGGAAAGUGGAAUUCCUGGUGUAGCGGUGAAAUGCGUAGAUAUCAGGAGGAACACCUGUGGUGUAGACGGCUUUCUGGACCAUAACUGACGCUGAGACACGAAAGCGUGGGUAGCAAACAG
rnacentral:rRNA from 1 species